rnacentral:lncRNA from 1 species
CAGGGCCCAGCAAGGGGAGACAGAAAGGAGACCUGCCUGCCCUGUGCCCACACGACGGGACCCACACGACACGGCCCCGACCCUGGCAUGGGGCUGCCACUUGGCUACUUUCACAGGAAAGCGGCACCCGGUGUUUUUUGCCUCCUGCAGAAGGAGCCCGGGAGCCUUGCAGGAGCCUGAAACCAGGGCACCGCUGUGUCACAGCCCGUCAUUUCCUGGCCAGUGCGCGGUGGCUCUGCGGCCCCUCCUGGAUCCCCUGCAAAGCUGUGGCCACGCAGACCUUCUCCCUCGUCUUUCUCUGGCUCCCGGUCACCGCCAGCCCUUCCCACAAGCUGCUUCUUGCGUUUGGAGGAUCUUUGCUUUCACUGACGCCAGUCUGGCUUUGGGUCUCUGCCCUAAUGCUCUACGUGUAACUGUAUGUAGAUUCUUUUUCUUAAAGACGGUCCCACAAAACCCGCAUCUCUCCCCAGUGGUGGGAAAAUGUCCCCUGACACUCUUCCCCGGUUGCCGGGUCAGCUGAGUAGGUCCCCCGUUAGGUCAUUCAUUCAUUCAACACAUACAUACUGAGCAGCUCUUCUGUACCGGGCACUGUUCUAGGCACUGGAGACAGACCAAUGGACAAGACAGACAAAAAUGCCUGCCCCGUGGACCUACGAUCCCCCGGGGGUACAGGCAAUCGACAGAAAAAUAAGGAAUAUUCGAGUAAUAAUAACUGACGAAUGUCGGCUUGAGGUGUGACGAGAGCUGCAGGGGAAAAUGAGCGGGGAGCGUGGGGCUGUAAUUUUUAAUGGAACAAGGUAGGAGGUGGACACCUGGGGAUGAGCGGUCUAGGUAAAGGGAAUGGCAUGUGCAAAGGCCCUGAGGCAGAGGCUCACCUGGGAGGGCUCAGCACUUCUCUGUGGUGUUUACCAGCCAGAAAUUAAACAAUCAUUCCGGUGAUGAUUUACACACUUUCUGGCAUACCCACUAGGGUCUUGUAUUCGGUGCUUGUUCACUAAAUAAAUGGAGAAAGGAC